rnacentral:rRNA from 1 species
GUGCCAGCAGCCGCGGUAAUACGUAGGUGGCAAGCGUUGUCCGGAAUUAUUGGGCGUAAAGCGCGCGCAGGUGGUUUCUUAAGUCUGAUGUGAAAGCCCACGGCUCAACCGUGGAGGGUCAUUGGAAACUGGGAGACUUGAGUGCAGAAGAGGAUAGUGGAAUUCCAAGUGUAGCGGUGAAAUGCGUAGAGAUUUGGAGGAACACCAGUGGCGAAGGCGACUAUCUGGUCUGUAACUGACACUGAGGCGCGAAAGCGUGGGGAGCAAACAGGAUUAGUACCCGGGUAGUCACGC